rnacentral:piRNA from 1 species
UGCUUUGCAUACAUGCGAACG